rnacentral:rRNA from 1 species
UUUUGUAUAAUGGGUCAGCGACUUAUAUUCUGUAGCAAGGUUAACCGAAUAGGGGAGCCGAAGGGAAACCGAGUCUUAACUGGGCGUUAAGUUGCAGGGUAUAGACCCGAAACCCGGUGAUCUAGCCAUGGGCAGGUUGAAGGUUGGGUAACACUAACUGGAGGACCGAACCGACUAAUGUUGAAAAAUUAGCGGAUGACUUGUGGCUGGGGGUGAAAGGCCAAUCAAACCGGGAGAUAGCUGGUUCUCCCCGAAAGCUAUUUAGGUAGCGCCUCGUGAAUUCAUCUCCGGGGGUAGAGCACUGUUUCGGCAAGGGGGUCAUCCCGACUUACCAACCCGAUGCAAACUGCGAAUACCGGAGAAUGUUAUCACGGGAGACACACGGCGGGUGCUAACGUCCGUCGUGAAGAGGGAAACAACCCAGACCGCCAGCUAAGGUCCCAAAGUCAUGGUUAAGUGGGAAACGAUGUGGGAAGGCCCAGACAGCCAGGAUGUUGGCUUAGAAGCAGCCAUCAUUUAAAGAAAGCGUAAUAGCUCACUGGUCGAGUCGGCCUGCGCGGAAGAUGUAACGGGGCUAAACCAUGCACCGAAGCUGCGGCAGCGACGCUUAUGCGUUGUUGGGUAGGGGAGCGUUCUGUAAGCCUGUGAAGGUGUACUGUGAGGUAUGCUGGAGGUAUCAGAAGUGCGAAUGCUGACAUAAGUAACGAUAAAGCGGGUGAAAAGCCCGCUCGCCGGAAGACCAAGGGUUCCUGUCCAACGUUAAUCGGGGCAGGGUGAGUCGACCCCUAAGGCGAGGCCGAAAGGCGUAGUCGAUGGGAAACAGGUUAAUAUUCCUGUACUUGGUGUUACUGCGAAGGGGGGACGGAGAAGGCUAUGUUGGCCGGGCGACGGUUGUCCCGGUUUAAGCGUGUAGGCUGGUUUUCCAGGCAAAUCCGGAAAAUCAAGGCUGAGGCGUGAUGACGAGGCACUACGGUGCUGAAGCAACAAAUGCCCUGCUUCCAGGAAAAGCCUCUAAGCAUCAGGUAACAUCAAAUCGUACCCCAAACCGACACAGGUGGUCAGGUAGAGAAUACCAAGGCGCUUGAGAGAACUCGGGUGAAGGAACUAGGCAAAAUGGUGCCGUAACUUCGGGAGAAGGCACGCUGAUAUGUAGGUGAAGCGACUUGCUCGUGGAGCUGAAAUCAGUCGAAGAUACCAGCUGGCUGCAACUGUUUAUUAAAAACACAGCACUGUGCAAACACGAAAGUGGACGUAUACGGUGUGACGCCUGCCCGGUGCCGGAAGGUUAAUUGAUGGGGUUAGCGGUAACGCGAAGCUCUUGAUCGAAGCCCCGGUAAACGGCGGCCGUAACUAUAACGGUCCUAAGGUAGCGAAAUUCCUUGUCGGGUAAGUUCCGACCUGCACGAAUGGCGUAAUGAUGGCCAGGCUGUCUCCACCCGAGACUCAGUGAAAUUGAACUCGCUGUGAAGAUGCAGUGUACCCGCGGCAAGACGGAAAGACCCCGUGAACCUUUACUAUAGCUUGACACUGAACAUUGAGCCUUGAUGUGUAGGAUAGGUGGGAGGCUUUGAAGUGUGGACGCCAGUCUGCAUGGAGCCGACCUUGAAAUACCACCCUUUAAUGUUUGAUGUUCUAACGUUGGCCCCUGAUCGGGGUUGCGGACAGUGUCUGGUGGGUAGUUUGACUGGGGCGGUCUCCUCCUAAAGAGUAACGGAGGAGCACGAAGGUUGGCUAAUCCUGGUCGGACAUCAGGAGGUUAGUGCAAUGGCAUAAGCCAGCUUGACUGCGAGCGUGACGGCGCGAGCAGGUGCGAAAGCAGGUCAUAGUGAUCCGGUGGUUCUGAAUGGAAGGGCCAUCGCUCAACGGAUAAAAGGUACUCCGGGGAUAACAGGCUGAUACCGCCCAAGAGUUCAUAUCGACGGCGGUGUUUGGCACCUCGAUGUCGGCUCAUCACAUCCUGGGGCUGAAGUAGGUCCCAAGGGUAUGGCUGUUCGCCAUUUAAAGUGGUACGCGAGCUGGGUUUAGAACGUCGUGAGACAGUUCGGUCCCUAUCUGCCGUGGGCGCUGGAGAACUGAGGGGGGCUGCUCCUAGUACGAGAGGACCGGAGUGGACGCAUCACUGGUGUUCGGGUUGUCAUGCCAAUGGCACUGCCCGGUAGCUAAAUGCGGAAGAGAUAAGUGCUGAAAGCAUCUAAGCACGAAACUUGCCCCGA